rnacentral:lncRNA from 1 species
AUUCUCCCCAAACUAGGAGAUGCCUAAAAAUAGACCUAAGCAGGGAAGAAGCGGGAUUCGGGGGGGCUGGAGCGGGAGGACACAUUAACCAGAAAUGAGGAGCAGAGAGCCUGGGGGAGGCUGGAAGCUGGGUACGCAGGGAGAGACAGAGACUAAGAGACAGUGAGAUACCAAGAUAGGGAGAGCCACGUGAUAGACUGGGGAGAGAUGAGAAAGAGACCAAGAGACCAUGAGGGAGUCAAGAGUCACCCCGCCACCCCCCUGCAGUGACCAAGCUGGCCCUGGCAGAGGGAGGGGUGUCUCUGGAGAGCUCCCAGCUGGAGGCAGGGUUUCUCUAUGUUGCCCAAGCUGGUCUUGAACUCCCGACCUCAAGUGAUCUGCCCGCCCCGGCCUCCCAAAGUGCUGGGAUCACAAGCGUGAGCCACCGCACCUGGCCCUUCCUCUGAGGCCUUCGUCUCCAAGAAUCCAGCAAAGUGACAAUAAUGAAAAUAAUGUCACUAAAGGGCCAGCACCACAGAAGAAAUCUCACUGGAACACCUGACUUCAAGUGUGACCUUGAAUCUCACUGAGCUCUCAAAUGUAACUGCCAGUUCCCCAAAAUGUGAGGAACUGAGAAACAGGUAAAAUGACAUCACAUGGACACAGCCAGCCCCACACAAACCAGAAAAACACACGGAGCAAAGGCCCCAGGGCUCCUGCAAGUUAAAUGUAGAAACCACCAACUGCCCUCAUACAAACAAGC